rnacentral:misc_RNA from 1 species
UUUCUUCAAAUCCCCAGCCAAACCUUUACGAACAAUUCGACAUUCUCUACAAAAUUCAGUAAUUAGCUCCUCAGAGGAACUGAAGUCUCGUGCCCAUACAGGAGUAGAUGCCAAUGGUGCAUCUGUUGAUGUCCGUAGCAAUUCAUACACCAUAUCUGUCUGCAAGACAUUAGGCAAAUUCAGCCUUUGUGCGAGUUGGGUAGCUAUAGUAGACUUCCCAACACAUGCAGUUCCACAAACAAGAAUUACCAAUGGCACUCUUUGAUGAUGAAAUCUUGUCAUCAUCUUGUAGCGAUUGAUGUACUCUUCCCCAUACCCCCGCCGCUCCAUGAGCUUAAAUAGGUUAGCUUCAAGAUCAGACUGAGAAACAUCUAGAAGACUGUUAUCUAUGAGCAGCUUCUUGAGUUC